AUCUUCCACAAUGGACGAAAGUCUGAUGGAGCAACGCCGCGUGAGUGAAGAAGGUUUUCGGAUCGUAAAACUCUGUUGUAAGGGAAGAAUAAGUGCAGUAGUAACUGGCUGCACCUUGACGGUACCUUAUUAGAAAGCCACGGCUAACUACGUGCCAGCAGCCGCGGUAAUACGUAGGUGGCAAGCGUUGUCCGGAUUUAUUGGGCGUAAAGCGCGCGCAGGUGGUUUCUUAAGUCUGAUGUGAAAGCCCCCGGCUUAACCGGGGAGGGUCAUUGGAAACUGGGAGACUUGAGUGCAGAAGAGGAAAGUGGAAUUCCAAGUGUAGCGGUGAAAUGCGUAGAGAUUUGGAGGAACACCAGUGGCGAAGGCGACUUUCUGGUCUGUAACUGACACUGAGGCGCGAAAGCGUGGGGAGCAAACAGG
rnacentral:rRNA from 1 species